CUGAAACGCAGGCUCUCUUCCUGUCAGGGCUGAGUCAGGUAGAAGAGCUGAUAAAACCACCUGAUCAAGGAAAAGGAAGGCACAGCGGAGCGCAGAGUGAAAACUACCAGCCCGAGGCGCGGGGCAGCGUCUCCUGCAGCGGCUGACGGCCCGGCCAUGCCUGCUCUCUGGCUGAGCUGCUGUCUCUGCUUGUCGCUCCUCCUGCCUGCAGCCCAGGCCACCUCCAGGAGGGAAGUCUGUGAUUGCAAUGGGAAGUCCGAGCAAUGCAUCUUUGAUCAGGAACUUCUCAGACAGACAGGAAAUGGAUUCCGCUGCCUCGGCUGCAAGGACAACACUGAUGGCACUCGCUGUGAGAGGUGCCAGGAGGGGUUUUACCGGCAGAGAGAGAGAGACCGCUGCCUACCCUGCAACUGUAACACCAAAGGUUCUCUGAGUGGUUGGUGUGACGACUCUGGACAGUGCAGCUGUAAGACAGGUGUGACAGGAGACAGGUGUGACCGAUGCCUUCCAGGCUUCCACACACUCACAGAUGCUGGGUGCAUCCCAGACCAAAGCCUGCUAGACUCCAAGUGUGACUGUGACCCAGCUGGCAUCUCUGGGCCCUGUGACACUGGCCACUGUGUCUGCAAGCCAGCUGUCACCGGAGAGCGCUGUGAUAGGUGUCGCCCCGGUUACUAUCACCUGGAAGGAGGUAACCCUGAAGGCUGUACCCAGUGUUUCUGCUAUGGGCACUCUGCCAACUGCCGCAGCUCUGGGGACUACAGUGUCCACAGAAUCACCUCUACCUUCUCUCAGGAUGUUGAUGGCUGGAAGGCUGUCCAAAGAAAUGGGUCUCCUGCAAAACUCCAGUGGUCACAGCGCCAUCGGGACGUGUUUAGCUCGGCACGACGGUCAGACCCUGUCUAUUUCGUAGCUCCUGCCAAGUUUCUUGGGAAUCAACAGGUGAGCUAUGGGCAAAGCCUGUCCUUUGACUACCGUGUGGACAGGGGAGGCAGACACCCAUCUGCCCACGAUGUGACCCUGGAAGGUGCUGGUCUACGGAUCACAGCUCCCUUGAUGCCCCUUGGCAAGACACUGCCUUGUGGGAUCACCAAGACUUACACAUUCAGAUUAAAUGAACAUCCAAGCAGUAACUGGAGCCCCCAGCUGAGUUACUUUGAGUAUCGGAGGCUACUGAGGAAUCUCACAGCUCUGCGGAUCCGAGCUACAUAUGGAGAAUACAGCACUGGGUACAUUGACAACGUGACAUUGAUUUCAGCCCGCCCCAUCUCCGGAGCUCCAGCACCUUGGGUUGAACAAUGUGUAUGUCCUGUUGGGUACAAGGGGCAGUUCUGCCAGGAUUGCGCUUCUGGCUACAAAAGAGAUUCAGCCAGACUGGGACCUUUUGGCACCUGUGUUCCAUGUAACUGCCAAGGGGGAGGGACCUGCGAUCCAGACACAGGAGAUUGUUACUCAGGGGAUGAAAAUCUUGACAUUGAGUGUGCCGACUGCCCCAUUGGCUUCUACAACGAUCCGCAUGACCCCCGCAGCUGCCAGCCUUGCCCCUGUCGCAAUGGGUUCAGCUGCUCCGUGAUGCCUGAGACAGAGGAGGUGGUGUGCAAUAACUGCCCCCAGGGGGUCACUGGUGCUCGCUGUGAGCUCUGUGCCGACGGCUACUUUGGGGACCCCUUUGGGGAACGUGGCCCAGUGCGGCCUUGUCAGCCCUGCCUGUGCAACAACAAUGUGGACCCCAGGGCCUCCGGGAACUGUGACCCCCUGACGGGCAGGUGUCUGAAGUGCAUCCAUAACACAGCUGGUGUCCACUGUGAGCAGUGCAAAGCAGGCUACUUUGGGGAUCCCUUGGCUCCGAACCCAGUGGACAAGUGUCAAGCUUGCAACUGUAACCCAAUGGGCUCAGAGCCUGUGGAAUGUAGAAGUGAUGGCAGCUGUGUUUGCAAGCCAGGAUUUGGUGGCCUCAGCUGUGAGCAUGCGGCGUUAACCAGCUGUCCAGCUUGCUACAAUCAAGUGAAGAUUCAGAUGGAUCCGUUUAUGCAGCAGUUCCAGAGCCUGGAGGCCCUGAUUUCUCAGAGUGGUGGUGGAGGAGUUCCCAGCUCAGAGCUGGAGGGCAGGAUGCGGCAAGCUGAGCGAGCUCUUCAAGACAUUCUGAGAGAAGCCCAGAUUUCAGGAGGUGCUCUUGGAUCUCUCACACUCCGGUUGGCCAAGGCAAGGAGCCAGGAGAAUAGCUUCCGGACCCGCCUGGAUGACCUCAAGAUGACUGUGGAAAGAGUCCGGGCGCUGGGUAGUCAGUAUCAGAACCGAGCUCAGGACACGCACAGGCUUAUCACUCAGAUGCGCCUGAGCCUGAAGGAGAGCGAGGCUUCCCUGCAAACCUCUAACAUUCCUUCCUCAAAUCACCAUGUGGGGCCAAAUGGUUUUGACAGUAUGGCUCAGGAGGCCGCGAGAUUGGCAGACAGCCAUGUUGAGUCAGCCAGUGACAUGGAGAAACUGGUAAGGGAAACCGAGGGCUAUUCCACACAAGCUCUGUCGCUGGCACGCAAGACCCUGAGUCAAGGAGGUGGAAGUAGUCCGGACAGCUCUGUGGUGCAAGAGCUUGUGGGAAAAUUGGAGAAAAGCAAGUCUCUGGCCCAGCAGCUGUCCAGGGAGGCCACUGAAGCCGACACUGAAGCAGAGAAGUCUUAUCAGCAUAGUCUCCGCCUUUUCAAUUCCAUGUCUCAACUUCAGGGAGUCAAGGAUCCGUCCUUUCAGGUCGAAGUGAAGAAGAUCAGACAAAAAGCUGAUUCUCUCUCAAGCCUGGUGACAAGGCAUAUGGAUGAGUUCAAGCAUGUGCAGAGUAAUCUGGGAAACUGGGAAGAAGAAUUACAGCAGCUCUUACAGAAUGGAAAGAAUGGGAGACAGAAAUCAGAUCAGCUGCUUUCCCGUGCCAACCUUGCUAAAAGUAGAGCCCAAGAAGCACUGAGUAUGGGCAAUGCCACUUUUUAUGAAGUUGAGAACAUCUUAAGGAGCCUCAGAGAGUUUGACCUCCAGGUUGGAGACAGAAAAGCAGAAGCUGAGGAAGCCAUGAAGAGACUCCCUUACAUCAGCCAGAAGGUUGCAGUUGCCAGUGACAAGACCCAGCAGGCCGAAGUAGCCCUGGGAGGUGCUGCUCUUGACGCCCAGAGAGCAAAGAACGCAGCCAGGGAGGCCCUGGAGAUUAGUGACAGGAUAGAACAGGAGAUAGAGACUCUGAACUUGGAAGCCAACGUGACAGCAGAUGGAGCCUUGGCCAUGGAGAAGGGACUGGCCGCUCUGAGGAGCGGGGUGAGGGAGGUGGAAGGAGAGCUGGAACGGAGGGAGCAAGAGCCAGACACCGACCUGGACGCGGUGAUUACAGAAGCCCAAAGAGUUGAUAACAGAGCCAAGAAUGCGGGAGUUACGAUCCAAGACACACUCAACACACUGGACAGCAUCUUACACCUAAUAGGCCAGCCUGGCAGUGUGGAUGAAGAGGCGCUGAUCUUAUUGGAGCAGAAGCUUUUCCGAGCCAAGACACAGGUCAACAGCCAGCUGCGGCCCUUGGUGUCAGAGCUAGAAGAGAGGGCACGUUGGCAGAGGGGCCACCUCCAGUUGCUGGAGAUGAGAAUAGAUGGGAUUCUGGCUGAUGUGAAGAACCUGGAGAACAUCAGAGACAACCUGCCUCCAGGCUGCUACAAUACCCAAGCUCUUGAGCAACAGUGAAGCUGCUAUAGAAGAUUUUCAACUAAGGUUUUUCAUACACGCCUCAAGGCUCAGGAGCCGUCUCAUGUGGGUGGGGUGGGCUGGGGACAUUUGAACAUGUUGAAUGGGCGUGCUCAAGCCAACUGAACCUUAUCCCAUCCCUGAGACCUGGGCCUGAUAAAUGUCUGAUGGCACAGGUGUGAUACUAUUUGCUUCCCGAUGCUGGGCAAUGGGGCAAAUAGCACUGGGUGUGAGACUGAUCAGGGCCUGGACCCCAAAGGGUAGACUGGAUGGAAGAACAAACUGCAUGGGCCAAUUUUUGCCUCAGAGUAUUCGUAAACUGAGUCCGGGAGCGUGGACAAGCGCUGCUGGGUUACAGUCAGCCUAUUUGUUGAGUCAUGUGAACAAAGGGAAAAAUUCUGACUUUGCCCACCAUAAAAUUCUUCCUAAUGUCACAACCAAGAGUGAAGUCCAGUCAUACUGUGGCCAGUAAAAUACUAUUGCCUCAUAGUAUGCAAUGCAAGUUUCUUGUUGACCAGAAUACCUCCCCUUUACUGCCCAAUUUGUCAAAAUGUACUCCGCUUUCAAGCUGGAAGAGAACAUAUGUUGCAAGAUACUCCCAUGGGGGCACUUACGUUUUGGCAAAGCCGAGAUGAACUUGGGUGCACGCUCUCUGCAUUCCAGCUGUCUCCCCAUCCCCACCCACUUCCACAACUGAUCGCCACAGACUGUUGAGUCAUAAUAACACCAGUGGGAAUUUGCUGGAAAAACCAGGGGUACUUCCACCUCGGCGUGGAAGACUUUGGUAUUGCCUCACUUCUGUAUUUCCUUGGCUUUUCAUGGACAUGUUUUUAAAUGAAGAACAAUUCUUAAAUGUCUAUGGUCAAUUUCUAAUUAUUAAACUCAAAGCCUAAGGUGCCUAAUGGAAGCAAUGGAAACCAAAAUGCCACAGAAAGAGUAAUGAGUCCUAGAGUUAUUAUCGUUAAUUCUUUUUUCUGAGCAUCUUCUUCUGCCCUUUCCAGCUGGGAGAAUGCUUUAUGAGGUUUAACUGGUGCUGUCUCCUAAGCAUGAAGGAUUUAUUCCUGGAACGACCUGAGCAGGGUGGGAGUUAUAAUUAAUAUUUUUGUCUUUUUUUCAACAGCUAUAAAGUAAAAGUAAAAUCAAUAGU